CAGACAGCAAACCAGGCCAAGUCUGCAGAGCUGCACUUCAUUAUUUCUGAGAACUCUGCACUUUCUUAUUUAUCCUUGCCGCAAAUGGAGUGGCUUAUGAUCUGGCUCGUUGUUCCUUUUUCCUAUGCAUAUACUUCUUUGAGAAUUUCUUCUAAAGAGGUGUAGGGCAUGGGAAAAUGGGGCAGCUGAGGUACUUCACCACUCAUCCUGGGCAGCUUCGGGAAGGCAGCAGCAGAAAUGUUCAGAGAAAAUAGAUGGGCCAGGAAAUGAAAGGUAAAUUUAUGAAACCCCCAAUUAAUCAUCAAAACUUGUGUAAAAAUAUACUGCCACUAUUUAUUCUGAUCUAACAUCUAAAUCUUGGUUUCCUCUUAAAACCUGAUUUAUUACAAGAGUAAUAUUUUAAGCAUUUCUCCAACUACAUUAUUUAAUAUGUCACUAGGUCUAAUGUAAAGCACAUGCCUUGCUAAGAAGCUACCCCUGCAGUCCUUAUUCCCAUAAUUCCAACAGAAAAUAAUGAAAAUAUAGUCACACAAACUGCCAAAAAUGCCACUCUUUGUCCCUGUCUCACAGGUGCCAGGAGCAGCCAUCACUAAAUCCAGGUAAUGCUGACUCACAUGUGUAAAGCCCAGUCAUGCAAAUGCUGCCUAAGUGGGUUGUCAGUAAUAUACCAAUUAUUCUUGGGAUUUUAUCCUUUAAGGUUCUAAGUACCUUUUACAUGAUGCAUGCAUGUGUGGAAUUGUGAAGUCUUCUAUUGUAAAACUCAGUUAAUAGUAAAUAAAAAUUAAAAACAUAAUAAUUUUUUUUCUUUCGCCCACAGGUGUCUUGGAGGUGGAAGUAGAAGCUCUCUUUGCUCAUUUCAUUUAGUAGAAAAAUAAAAUUUUUAUGUUUCUGUCCAAUUACUUUCAUUUACUCUAAAUAGCAAUGUGUCACAGCAAUUCUGGGGGGAAAAUUCUGCUGUUAUGAAACAAUGUAAAUGUACAUAAUGCAUGUCAAAUAAAUAUCUAAUGUUUCUGUCACAGAUCA